AUGCAGUCGAGCGGACUUUAAAAGCUUGCUUUUAAAGUUAGCGGCGGACGGGUGAGUAACACGUGGGCAACCUGCCUGUAAGACUGGGAUAACUUCGGGAAACCGGAGCUAAUACCGGAUAAUCCUUUUCCUCUCAUGAGGAAAAGCUGAAAGACGGCAUCUCGCUGUCACUUACAGAUGGGCCCGCGGCGCAUUACCUAGUUGGUGAGGUAACGGCUCACCAAGGCAACGAUGCGUACCCAACCUGAAAGGGUGAUCGGCCACACUGGGACUGAAACACGGCCCAAACUCCUACGGGAGGCAGCAGUAGGGAAUCUUCCGCAAUGGACAAAAGUCUGACGGAGCAACGCCGCGUGAGUGAUGAAGGUUUUCGGAUCGUAAAGCUCUGUUGUUAGGGAAAAACAAGUACAAAAGUAACUGCUUGUACCUUGACGGUACCUAACCAAAAAGCCACGGCUAACUACGUGCCAGCAGCCGCGGUAAUACGUAGGUGGCAAGCGUUGUCCGGAAUUAUUGGGCGUAAAGCGCGCGCAGGCGGUCCUUUAAGUCUGAUGUGAAAGCCCACGGCUCAACCGUGGAGGGUCAUGGGAAACUGGGGGACUUGAGUGCAGAAAAGAAGAGUGGAAUUCCACGUGUAGCGGUGAAAUGCGUAAAGAUGUGGAGGAACACCAGUGGCGAAGGCGACUCUUUGGUCUGUAACUGACGCUGAGGCGCGAAAAGCGUGGGGAGCAAACAGGAUUAGAUACCCUGGUAGUCCACGCCGUAAACGAUGAGUGCUAAGUGUUAGAGGGUUUCCGCCCUUUAGUGCUGCAGCAAACGCAUUAAGCACUCCGCCUGGGGAGUACGGCCGCAAGGCUG
rnacentral:rRNA from 1 species